AUUGAACGCUGGCGGCAGGCUUAACACAUGCAAGUCGAACGAGUGGCGGACGGGUGAGUAAUGCUUGGGAAUCUAGCUUAUGGAGGGGGAUAACUACGGGAAACUGUAGCUAAUACCGCGUACCAUAGGAUGAGCCCAAGUGGGAUGAGGUAGUUGGUGAGGUAAAGGCUCACCAAGCCGACGAUCUCUAGCUGGUCUGAGAGGAUUACCAGCCACACUGGGACUGAGACACGGCACAGAGUCCUACGGAAGACAGCAGUGGGGAAUAUUGCGCUAGGGGGACAACCUGACGCAGCCAUACGGCGAGAAUGAAGAAGGCCUUCGGAUUGUAAAGUUCUUUCGGUAGCAAGGCGUUAACUACAGAAGAAGCACCGGCUAACUCCGUGCCAGCAGACGCGGUAAUAC
rnacentral:rRNA from 1 species